GUGAAGAGUUUGAUCCUGGCUCAGAGUGAACGCUGGCGGUAGGCCUAACACAUGCAAGUCGAACGGCAGCACAGGAGAGCUUGCUCUCUGGGUGGCGGGUGUCGGACGGAUG
rnacentral:rRNA from 1 species